rnacentral:rRNA from 1 species
UACGUAGGGUGCAAGCGUUAAUCGGAAUUACUGGGCGUAAAGCGUGCGCAGGCGGUGAUGUAAGACCGAUGUGAAAUCCCCGGGCUUAACCUGGGAACUGCAUUUGUGACUGGCGGGCUAGAGUAUGGCAGAGGGGGGGUAGAAUUCCACGUGUAGCAGUGAAAUGCGUAGAGAUGUGGAGGAAUACCGAUGGCGAAGGCAGCCCCCUGGGCCAAUACUGACGCUCAUGCACAAAAGCGUGGGGAGCAAACAGG